rnacentral:rRNA from 1 species
GACGAACGCUGGCGGCGUGCUUAACACAUGCCAGUCGAGCGGUAAGGCCUUUCGGGGUACACGAGCGGCGAACGGGUGAGUAACACGUGGGUGAUCUGCCCUGCACUUCGGGAUAAGCCUGGGAAACUGGGUCUAAUACCGGAUAUGACCUCCUAUCGCAUGGUGGGUGGUGGAAAGAUUUAUCGGUGCAGGAUGGGCCCGCGGCCUAUCAGCUUGUUGGUGGGGUAAUGGCCUACCAAGGCGACGACGGGUAGCCGACCCGAGAGGGUGACCGGCCACACUGGGACUGAGACACGGCCCAGACUCCUACGGGAGGCAGCAGUGGGGAAUAUUGCACAAUGGGCGAAAGCCUGAUGCAGCGACGCCGCGUGAGGGAUGACGGCCUUCGGGUUGUAAACCUCUUUCAGCAGGGACGAAGCGCAAGUGACGGUACCUGCAGAAGAAGCACCGGCUAACUACGUG